AAUACAGCCUGUGUGGAUGGGAAUUGGCCAGCCGGAGGGGAAGGAGGGGCCUCUCUCUUAGCUCCUCCCCCAUACGCCCUCAUACUGCCUGUUUGGGACUCCACAGCUAGAGGUGGGAGAAGGGGUCAAUACUUCUCCAUGUCCCCUGACAUGAUCAUGUCCAUGAGAGGGAAUCAAUUUCCCUGUGCAGCAGCAGCGUGAUUGUCCACGCCACAGUGGCAGACCUGUUCCGGCGAUCCUCUUCACACUUCAAAUAGCCAGCAAACAUUCUUCAUUAAACUUCAAUGCUGGGAGUCAUUGUCUCUUUAAAGGCCAAAAUCUGUGGGCAACGUGAUGCUGACUGAGACUGAAUGGUUAUAUUCAGAUACCUAGAACCAAUUAUUAACUGCAGCAGGGGGGCUGCAAAUACAACAGUUUGGCACAAAGAGUUCUAAAAGAAGCACUGCCUCUCAGCCCACGCCGAUCACUGCUUUCCAUAUAAUAAUGUGCGAUCCAUAUGUUGUAUGUAGAAAUUUCAGACUGAGCUAGCUACACUGCUUUUGUCCUCUCUCAGAAAGGUCAUCUUACAGUUAAUGACCCUUUAGAAUCCUUAAGUUAGACACUCAGUAGACAUAAACGUCUUAUAUAGUUAGAUGUCUCACCUUCAGGAUGCUCAAGUUUCCGAAAUUGCUAUAAAGCAAACUAAAAAAAAGUUAUGUAUGGCGUUGGACCUGGUACGUAACGUAUACAAGGAAUUCACCCAGUAAAAUAAAAACAAAAAAGUGUGACACGUAACUGUAUGAUAUUAGCUAUGCCCAUAUUCAUUUUACUGUAUCCAAAUUCUAGUUGUCCGCUUUUUCUGUCUUGCUGAUCACUUCUCUGUAUCUCCCUAUGACUGGUAGUUUGCCUUGCUUCUCACCUUGGUGCAGAUGUAUUAAGCCUGAAGAAGUGAUAAAACAGCGAUAAAGAAGUGAUAAGUGCAAGGUGAUUCAGCCAAUCAUUAUGGGUUUGAAAAAUAACAGGAGUGAUUGGCUGGUGCGUUAUCACCUUCCACUUAUCACUUCUUUAUCACUUUCCCAGGCUAAACUAAUCUCCCCCCUUGUCUCUCCCUGUUACCAACCUGUGACACUCUAGCCUUAAGGGGGGUACUCACGGGAGAGAUGUGUGCUGAGCGAUCUUAACACAGACCGCUCAGCACACAUCUCUCACCCCGCUCAGCACAGCGCGAUGUGCUGAGCGAGGGGGAAAGCCGACGGGGGGCCGCUCACUUCACACAACGGUGAUGUGAGCGACCCGCUAGAUUGAGCCUGCAUGCAGCUCAAUCUAGCAUCGGCGAUAGCGAUGAGCGGGGCCGCGCAUCGCUAUCGCUGGAGGGCAUACACACGGCAGAUCCGUGCUUAAAAUCUAAGCAAUCUAGCAAGAUUGCUUAGAUUUUAAGUACGGAUCUCUCCGUGUGUACCCCCCUUUACACUUUUGCACAGGUACUCAUUAUACUGCAUGACUGUGCAAGCUGCAAACUGUGGAUGAUUCUUAUAUCAAAGAAAAGUCAUAUUGUAACUCAUGAUUUUCUAUGCACUUUGGCCACACAAUUUUAAUCACUGUGAAAUGCAAUGAUGCCCUUCAAUCAUGCAAGGACUCAAUUUAAUUACCUCACAUAUUCCCCCAUAGGCCAAUUAACUGCAUAAAGACAUCUGAGAAAAAAAGUUUACUGUGCUUUCA